UACGUAGGGGGCUAGCGUUGUCCGGAAUCAUUGGGCGUAAAGAGCGUGUAGGCGGCCCGGUAAGUCCGCUGUGAAAGUCGGGGGCUCAACCCUGGAAUGCCGGUGGAAACUGUCGGGCUGGAGUCCGGAAGAGGCGAGUGGAAUUCCAGGUGUAGCGGUGAAAUGCGCAGAUAUCAGGAAGAACACCCGUGGCUAAGGCGGCCCUCUAGUACGGUACUGACGCUGAGACGCGAAAGCGUGGGGAGCGAACAGG
rnacentral:rRNA from 1 species